AAUCGCCCUAUAAAUAACAAUACAUAUCCUCUAUAUUUUGCCCCUAAAAAACCCUAAUUUUAGCGCCGUCAGGCUGCCAAAUUUGCUCGCCGGAGUUCCAAGCCGCCGCCACCAUUGGAGCUCGAUUCUGAGGCCUCCAAGAACCACCGGAGAUGCCACCCAACACCACCGGAGUUCGCCGGAGUUCCGACACCGUCCGCCGCCUUCAGCCGCCCAUAACCACCACGUGGAACCUGGCUGAACUACGCCGAGAAUUCGAACGUGACGGAAAGCGUCUGCUGCUUCACGUCCACGCCUUGACUGUGCCGGAGAACCACCAGAACGUCGUCGUCGUCCACCGCCCGAGCACACCACCACCAGCGCGAUCGACAUCCUCGAAUGCUGCCACCGCUUUGUACGGAGAGAUACACGUUUGAUUGAGAGAAGAGCAGAAUUCUUCAGAUACCAAAAAGGCA